rnacentral:rRNA from 1 species
GAUGAACGCUGGCGGCGUGCCUAAUACAUGCAAGUCGAGCGAACGGACGAGAAGCUUGCUUCUCUGAUGUUAGCGGCGGGCGGGUGAGUAACACGUGGAUAACCUACCUAUAAGACUGGGAUAACUUCGGGAAACCGGAGCUAAUACCGGAUAAUAUUUUGAACCGCAUGGUUCAAAAGUGAAAGACGGUCUUGCUGUCACUUAUAGAUGGAUCCGCGCUGCAUUAGCUAGUUGGUAAGGUAACGGCUUACCAAGGCAACGAUGCAUAGCCGACCUGAGAGGGUGAUCGGCCACACUGGAACUGAGACACGGUCCAGACUCCUACGGGAGGCAGCAGUAGGGAAUCUUCCGCAAUGGGCGAAAGCCUGACGGAGCAACGCCGCGUGAGUGAUGAAGGUCUUCGGAUCGUAAAACUCUGUUAUUAGGGAAGAACAUAUGUGUAAGUAACUGUGCACAUCUUGACGGUACCUAAUCAGAAAGCCACGGCUAACUACGUGCCAGCAGCCGCGGUAAUACGUAGGUGGCAAGCGUUAUCCGGAAUUAUUGGGCGUAAAGCGCGCGUAGGCGGUUUUUUAAGUCUGAUGUGAAAGCCCACGGCUCAACCGUGGAGGGUCAUUGGAAACUGGAAAACUUGAGUGCAGAAGAGGAAAGUGGAAUUCCAUGUGUAGCGGUGAAAUGCGCAGAGAUAUGGAGGAACACCAGUGGCGAAGGCGACUUUCUGGUCUGUAACUGACGCUGAUGUGCGAAAGCGUGGGGAUCAAACAGGAUUAGAUACCCUGGUAGUCCACGCCGUAAACGAUGAGUGCUAAGUGUUAGGGGGUUUCCGCCCCUUAGUGCUGCAGCUAACGCAUUAAGCACUCCGCCUGGGGAGUACGACCGCAAGGUUGAAACUCAAAGGAAUUGACGGGGACCCGCACAAGCGGUGGAGCAUGUGGUUUAAUUCGAAGCAACGCGAAGAACCUUACCAAAUCUUGACAUCCUUUGACAACUCUAGAGAUAGAGCCUUCCCCUUCGGGGGACAAAGUGACAGGUGGUGCAUGGUUGUCGUCAGCUCGUGUCGUGAGAUGUUGGGUUAAGUCCCGCAACGAGCGCAACCCUUAAGCUUAGUUGCCAUCAUUAAGUUGGGCACUCUAAGUUGACUGCCGGUGACAAACCGGAGGAAGGUGGGGAUGACGUCAAAUCAUCAUGCCCCUUAUGAUUUGGGCUACACACGUGCUACAAUGGACAAUACAAAGGGCAGCGAAACCGCGAGGUCAAGCAAAUCCCAUAAAGUUGUUCUCAGUUCGGAUUGUAGUCUGCAACUCGACUACAUGAAGCUGGAAUCGCUAGUAAUCGUAGAUCAGCAUGCUACGGUGAAUACGUUCCCGGGUCU